GCGCGCGCGCGCGCCUCCGGUUCUCAUUCUAUCUUUUAGGUCAAUCACGCGAGUGUGCGUAAUCUCUCAUUUCUUUCUCAUGCGUAUCCACGCACCCACACACACACACACACACACACACACACACACACACAAAACGUGAAAUACACGCCACGAAUACAUUCUCUCUCUUUCUCUCUCUCUCUCUCAUUCUCUACCCAAUCCGUUCUUUCUCUUCCUCACUCCCGCGUUCUCUCCAUCUCUCUCAGGCUCGCUCUCUCGAUCUCUAUUUAUCCCGUUUAUUCUCCGUUCAGGAUAAAACGGGAUAAGGAUUUAAUAGGAAAGGAAGAAAAAGAGGAGCGAUCUCUCGCCACGACGAUGACGAUGACGACAACGUGAAACGACGGUCGUCUCGGAUCGCACUCCUGCGUCCGAAAGUACAAUACUCCCGAAUGUAUAUUCAUCAUCGUGAUGUAGUGUCGCCGUGCAGUGUGUAAUAACAUAUAUAGUGAAAUAACGCGCUUUUCUUAACAUCGUCGCGGCCUUUAAAGAACGCUGUGCGACGCUGUGCGCCGCUUCGCGUCGCGUCGCAUCACGUCGCGUUACGCCGCGCUGCAGUGUGACCGCGUUUGCCACGACCGACCGUUCGUGUGCACGUUGCGUGUUCAUAUUCUAAUCUUUAUCAGAUCGCAGCGGAAGCGGCGACACGAAGAGGAGGAGGCGGCGAAACAAGAGAAGGAAGAGACGUGAGUUUCGGCGGUUCUACGGGCAAUGUCUACGCGUGUGUGCAGUGCCGCGUGACAGUGCACGUGGACAAGGGUGAGACAGUGCGCGGUGCAGUACGACAGGCAGA
rnacentral:misc_RNA from 1 species